rnacentral:rRNA from 1 species
GACGAACGCUGGCGGCGUGCCUAAUACAUGCAAGUCGAGCGCAGGAAGACGUUCUGAACCCUUCGGGGGGACGACGGUGGAAUGAGCGGCGGACGGGUGAGUAACACGUAAAGAACCUGCCCAUAGGUCUGGGAUAACCACGAGAAAUCGGGGCUAAUACCGGAUGUGUCAUCGGACCGCAUGGUCCGCUGAUGAAAGGCGCUCCGGCGUCGCCCAUGGAUGGCUUUGCGGUGCAUUAGCUAGUUGGUGGGGUAAAGGCCCACCAAGGCGACGAUGCAUAGCCGACCUGAGAGGGUGAUCGGCCACACUGGGACUGAGACACGGCCCAGACUCCUACGGGAGGCAGCAGUAGGGAAUCUUCCACAAUGGACGAAAGUCUGAUGGAGCAACGCCGCGUGAACGAUGAAGGCUUUCGGGUCGUAAAGUUCUGUUGUAAGGGAAGAACAAGUGCCGCAGGCAAUGGCGGCACCUUGACGGUACCUUGCGAGAAAGCCACGGCUAACUACGUGCCAGCAGCCGCCGUAAAAC